rnacentral:rRNA from 1 species
CAGUCGCCGCGGGAAUACGUAGGGUGCGAGCGUUAAUCGGAAUUACUGGGCGUAAAGCGUGCGCAGGCGGUUGUGUAAGACAGGUGUGAAAUCCCCGGACUUAACCUGGGAACUGCGCUUGUGACUGCACAGCUAGAGUAUGGCAGAGGGGGGUGGAAUUCCACGUGUAGCAGUGAAAUGCGUAGAGAUGUGGAGGAACACCGAUGGCGAAGGCAGCCCCCUGGGCCAAUACUGACGCUCAUGCACGAAAGCGUGGGGAGCAAACAGGAUUAGAUACCCGAGUAGUCCCUGUCUCUUAUAA